GGGAUAUGAUGAGUGGUCAAAAUCUCGCAAUUUUGCGUGAAGGGUGUCCGCCUAAGCCUGGUUACGACAAUUGGGCACCCUAAUUUAUAACCAUCUGAUCCC